rnacentral:lncRNA from 1 species
GGAGGAGGAGGGGGUGGAGGACAAGGGGAAGAGGAGGAAGAGGGGGAGGAGGAGCCAUUUUAUCACAUUGGAGCUGCACGCUGCUGCUCUGAAACCGACCACCACCUUCUGUUGGGAUCCCGUGCUUGGAAUCAAACUUUUUUGCUUCAUGAUUCACACCUCCCAUCCCUCUUGCUACUGUUUUUUGAAGUGACAGCAAAGGCAUUUUUUUUUUUUGGAACUGCAUUCCUUAAGAUUCCACCUGCCACCUAAUCAUUAAGUCCCUGCAGAAAGGAAGUAUCAGACACAAAAAACGAAAGAGCACUUCUCCCCUGUCUUCUCUCCUUUCAGCAUCAGGUGUCUCCAUGAGCUAGAUGGAGUCUCACCCUGUCACCCACGCUGGAGUGGAAUGGUGUGAUCUCAGCUCACUGAAACCUCCGCCUCCUGGGUUCAAGCCAUUCUCCUGCCUCAGCCUCCCGAGUAGCUGGGAUUACAAGUGCCAUCCACCAGGCCUGGCUAAUUUUUGUAUUUUUAGUAGAGACAGUGUUUCACCAUGUUGGCCAGGCUGGUCUUGAACUCCUGACCUCAGGUGAUACGCCCGCCUCGGCCUCCCAAAGUGCCAGGAUUACAGGCGUGGGCCACUGUGUCCGGCCUCUUGGACAGGGUUUAAAUGGACAAUUGUGUUCCCAGAUCUUAUUCCGUGUGCCUGCCAUCGCUAGCAUCAGAUGAGAACUGCCCCCUUGAUUUCCACGUUUGUAAGGGUGUAAAUAAAGAACAGUAUUUUUUCUAGGAAUAAAG